AUCGACAAUCCACGUUANNUUUCACUUUAAUUUAAAAUUUAUAUACCGCCAUUUCAAGAAUUAAUUAAAAAAUAUUUUUCCAAAUAAUACAUAAAAAAUUAGGUCAAGGUGUAAUCCAUAUAAAAGAACGAGAUGAAUUACAUUAAAUAUCAUUUAAAGAAUACUAAUUAAAACAAAACCCAAUAAGAAUUUAAAAGAAAUAUUAAAAUAUUAAUUUAAUAUGAUAUAGAUAUAAAUGUGCACACAUCGCCC
rnacentral:rRNA from 1 species